rnacentral:rRNA from 1 species
UACGUAGGGUGCGAGCGUUGUCCGGAAUUAUUGGGCGUAAAGGGCUCGUAGGCGGUUUGUCGCGUCGGGAGUGAAAACACCGGGCUUAACUCGGUGCUUGCUUUCGAUACGGGCAGACUAGAGGCAUGCAGGGGAGAACGGAAUUCCUGGUGUAGCGGUGGAAUGCGCAGAUAUCAGGAGGAACACCGAUGGCGAAGGCAGUUCUCUGGGCCGUAACUGACGCUGAGGAGCGAAAGCGUGGGGAGCGAACAGG